CCUACGGGUGGCAGCAGUGAGGAAUAUUGGUCAAUGGGCGCGAGCCUGAACCAGCCAAGUCGCGUGAGGGAGGACGGCCCUACGGGUUGUAAACCUCUUUUGCCGGGGAGCAACGGGCGUCACGUGUGGCGCCACUGAGAGUACCCGGAGAAAAAGCAUCGGCUAACUCCGUGCCAGCAGCCGCGGUAAUACGGAGGAUGCGAGCGUUAUCCGGAUUUAUUGGGUUUAAAGGGUGCGUAGGCGGAUCGUUAAGUCAGUGGUCAAAUUGAGGGGCUCAACCCCUUCCCGCCAUUGAAACUGGCGCUCUUGAGUGGAAGAGAAGUAUGCGGAAUGCGUGGUGUAGGGGUAAAAUCCGUAGAGAUCAAGAGGAAUACUCAUUGCGAAGGCGACCUGCUAGAACAUAACUGACGCUGAUGCGCGAAAGCGUGGGGAGCAAACAGGAUUAGAUACCCCUGUAGUC
rnacentral:rRNA from 1 species